GGGGCUGAGGCUCAGUGGUAGAGCACUUGCCUCGCAUGUAUGAGGCACUGGGUUCGAUCUUCAGCACCACA
rnacentral:tRNA from 1 species